rnacentral:lncRNA from 1 species
CAUCUAGUGGUAGACAAUUUUUUGAAGAACAUUUCUUUUAAACGGCAGAUAUCAACCAUUAAAAAUUAAUAAUUUUGAAUCCUUUCGAUUGCUAGAUAAAUAAUAUCGAAAAUCGUAAAAAUUAUUUUUUAGAAACUUCAAAUACGUUAGAUCAAGUCUAACGGGACCGAUUUUUGAUUCGAAAAUUUCAUCAUCGAAAACAGCUCUAAAAGUACAGCAGUCCUGCUAUAUAUAUAUAUAUAUAUAUAUAUAUAUA